rnacentral:misc_RNA from 1 species
GAUGAAGAACGCAGCGAAAUGCGAUAAGUAAUGUGAAUUGCAGAAUUCAGUGAAUCAUCGAAUCUUUGAACGCACAUUGCGCCCGCCAGUAUUCUGGCGGGCAUGCCUGUUCGAGCGUCAUUUCAACCAUCAAGCCCCCGGCUUUGUUGGGGACCUGCGGCUGCCGCAGGCCCUGAAAAGCAGUGGCGGGCUCGCUGUCACACCGAGCGUAGUAGCAUACAUCUCGCUCUGGGCGUGCUGCGGGUUCCGGCCGUUAAACCACCUUCAUAACCCAAGGUUGACCUCGGAUCAGGUAGGAAGACCCGCUGAACUUAAGCAUAUCAAUAAGCGGAGGA